GCAUAUCAAUAAGCGGAGGAAAAGAAACCAACAGGGAUUGCCUCAGUAACGGCGAGUGAAGCGGCAACAGCUCAAAUUUGAAAUCUGGCCUCUUUAGGGGUCCGAGUUGUAAUUUGUAGAGGAUGUUUCGGGUACCGCUCCGGUUUAAAUUUCUUGGAACAGAAUGUCAAAGAGGGUGAGAAUCCCGUCUUGGACCGGCGGUAGGGCCCAUGUGAAACUCCUUCGACGAGUCGAGUUGUUUGGGAAUGCAGCUCAAAAUGGGUGGUAAAUUUCAUCUAAAGCUAAAUAUUGGCCAGAGACCGAUAGCGCACAAGUAGAGUGAUCGAAAGAUGAAAAGCACUUUGAAAAGAGAGUUAAACAGUAUGUGAAAUUGUUGAAAGGGAAGCGCUUGCAACCAGACUUGAGCGCGGCGGUUCCCCCUUCCUUCUGGUUGGGCUACUCCGCCGCGUCCAGGCCAACAUCGGUUCUGGGGGUCGGUCAAAGGCCCGGGGAAUGUAUCUACCCUUCGGGCGUAGACUUAUAGCCCCGGGUGUCAUGCGACCUCCCGGGACCGAGGAACGCGCUUCGGCUCGGAUGUUGGCGUAAUGGUUGUCAGCGACCCGUCUUGAAACACGGACC
rnacentral:rRNA from 1 species